CUGGCGGCGUGCCUAAUACAUGCAAGUCGAACGGUCUUUCUAUGGAAGCUUGCUUCCACUGAGAAGAUAGUGGCGAACGGGUGAGUAACACGUGGGUAACCUGCCCAUAAGAGGGGGAUAACAUCCGGAAACGGGUGCUAAUACCGCAUAGUUUUCUUGAUCGCAUGAUUGAGAAAGGAAAGACGGCCUUUGUGCUGUCGCUUAUGGAUGGACCCGCGGCGUAUUAGUUAGUUGGUGAGGUAAUGGCUCACCAAGACGAUGAUACGUAGCCGACCUGAGAGGGUGAUCGGCCACAUUGGGACUGAGACACGGCCCAAACUCCUACGGGAGGCAGCAGUAGGGAAUCUUCCGCAAUGGACGAAAGUCUGACGGAGCAACGCCGCGUGAGUGAAGAAAGGGUUUUCGGAUCGUAAAACUCUGUUGUCAGAGAAGAACAAGUUGGAGAGUAACUGCUCCAGCCUUGACGGUAUCUGACCAGAAAGCCACGGCUAACUACGUGCCAGCCGCGGC
rnacentral:rRNA from 1 species